UCCUUGAUGUAUUCCCUACCCAGAGGAGCUGCACUCUCACUGCUGGCAGAGGGGGUGCCCUUAAUUGUGUUAUUAUGGGCACGGCUUGACUAGAGUCCCAAGUCACACUUACAUCUUCUUCCAGGAGGCCAGCCAAGUCUUCAGGCCCACUCUGGUCCACGUGGCUAAAACCCAAGGCUAGAGUCUCACUCUGUUUUCCUCUAGGUGACACCUUAAAGGAGGUACUGCUUAGCUCCCUUUCACCUCUUUUCUCACCUGUCUCUUGCUUCAGAUUAUUUUCCCCCUCUUUCUUUUCACUUUCUUUUCACUUUCUCUUUUUUCUUUCUUGCCUCUCUUCACCCUCUUAGCUUGGUCUCCUUGAUUUCAUUCCCUCUGUCUGAUGUCUCCAACACUUGUGCUGGCUCUGUCUGUCCACUAGCCCUUAAUACUGCCUUUCUCCAGAACACCUUUCUCCCAUCCUCAUUUCCUGUAGCUAUACAAGGUCAUUCUGGGCACUGUUAUCUGGGUGGUUUUAUUUAUUUAUUCAUGAGAGACACACAGAGAGAAGCAGAGACAUAGGCAGAGGGAGAAGUAGGCUCCCCAUGGGGAGCUCGAUACAGGACUCGAUUCCAGGACCCCAGGAUCACAACCUGAACAAAAGCCUCAACCACUGAGCCACCCAGGUGCCCCUGGCUAAUUUAAAUGAUCAAUUUGUAUCAGUUAGCUUUUUCUGCAUAACAAAUCACCCCAAACUUGAAAUAAUAGCUAUUUAACUCAUUGUUCUUCUGACUGGUCAUUUAGGCUGGGCUCAGCUGCGUGAGUUUCUGUGCACUUUUAAGUUUCUACUAAUCUAUGAGUUUCCUUUGAUUUCCAGAAUUUUUUAUCCCUGGCCCUAUUGGAGUUUUAGACCAGAUAACUCUUCACAGGAGAGGCUGUCCUGUGCAUCGUAGAACAUGGAGCCGUCUGUACCUGUUAGAUGCUGGUAGCAAAUCCUCCUCCUCAGUGCAACAACCCAAACUGUCUCCAGACAUGGCAAAUGUCCCUUGGACAUUUGAGAGAUGCAAAACUUUUAGAAGCGUUUGACACUUACCAGACAGACCUUUAGUAAGUAGGUUCUUACAAGGAAGAGAAGAUUAAGUAUGCGGACAUACACAGAGGGAAGAUUAUGUGAAGACACAGGGAAGAGAGGCUUCAGAAGAAACCAACCCAACCAGCACCCUGAUCUUGGACUUCUCACCCCUAGAAUUGUAAGAAUAUAAACUUCUG